CAAUAGCGUAUAUUUAAGUUGUUGCAGUUAAAAAGCUCGUAGUCGGAUUUUGGCUGAGAACGAACGGUCCGCCGUUAGGUGUGCACUGUUUGGUCUCAGCUUCCUGGUGAGGAGGUGUGCUUCACGGCCACUUAGUCACCGUGGUUACUUUGAAAAAAUUAGAGUGUUCAAAGCGGGCUUACGCUUGAAUAUAUUAGCAUGGAAUAACACCAUAGGACUCCUGUCCUAUUUCGUUGGUCUCGGGACGGGAGUAAUGAUUAAGAGGAACAGUUGGGGCAUUCGUAUUUCAUUGUCAGAGGUGAAAUUCUUGGAUUUAUGAAAGACGAACUUCUGCGAAAGCAUUUGCCAAGGAUGUUUUCAUUGA
rnacentral:rRNA from 1 species